rnacentral:snRNA from 1 species
AGUGGUGAGGGUGAUCUGGCUGUGACAUCUGUCACCCCAUUGAUCGCCAGGGUUGAUUCGGCUAAUCUGGCUGGCUAAGCAGGUGUCCCCUUCCUCCCUCACUCCUCCAUGUACAUCCCUCCCAAAGCUGCACACUUGGUCGGAGAAGAUGACCUUCCCCAGUAGAGGAGGACCGUACUUCUUGGUCAAGGGUAUAUGAGUAGAUAUGCUCCCCUGCUAGAACCUCCAAACAAGCUCUGAAGUUGUGGAAGUGGAUUUGAGUUACUCAACUGGAGAGAAAAUGUUU